rnacentral:rRNA from 1 species
AUGACUAAGAUUGAUGUGAGUUAUUAUAAAGAUCUAUUCAAGUGGGAGCCUAGACCUAACAUUACGUUGAAGGCUGAUUUUUUCACUGAAGGUGAGAAAGUUACUAUAGAGGAAAAUGCUAGAUUAGAGGCUAGAUUUACUGAAGAGGAGAUUAGGAAUGCUGUUUUUAGUUCCUACUCUGAUGGUGCUCCUGGACCUGAUGGUUUACCUUUUAUGUUUUAUCAGGAAUUCUGGGAUAUAGUUAAAGAUGAUUUGGUCAAGAUCUUUGAUGCUUGGUUUGAUGGUAAAUUAGAUAUCUUUGGGCUUAAUUUUGCUAUGAUUACUUUGAUUCCUAAGGAAAAUGAGGCUAGGACUAUGAAUAAGUUUAGACCUAUUAGUUUAUUAAACUGCCGUUUUAAGAUUUUCACUAAGGUAUUGACUAAUAGGUUGGCCCUCAUAAUUGGGAGACUGAUCUCUGAAGCUCAGUCUGCCUUUGUGAGGGGUAGAUUAAUUCUGGAAAGUGUAGUUACAACUCAUGAGAUAGUGAAUGUUGUACACUCUAUUGGUAGGAAAGGUUUGGUGUUUAAGAUUGAUUAUGAAAAAGCUUAUGAUAAAGUGAAUUUAGAUUUUCUUUAUGAAAUCCUAGCUCUUAGGGGUUUUGGGCCCAGGUGGCUGGGAUGGAUUAGAAGUCUGACUGAAAAUGGCCUGUGGGAGUCAAAUUAA